CUCGGAGUUUGAUCCUGGCUCAGAGUUGAACGACUGGCGGAAUGCUUUACACACUGACAGGUCGAACGGUAGAGGGGGCAACCCCGUUGAGAGUGGCGAACGGGUGAGUAAUAUAUCGGAACGUGCCCAGUCGUGGGGGAUAACGUAGCGAAAGUUACGCUAAUACCGCAUACGAUCUAAGGAUGAAAGCGGGGGACUCGCAAGAGCCUCGCGCGAUUGGAGCGGCCGAUAUCAGAUUAGGUAGUUGGUGGGGUAAAGGCUCACCAAGCCAACGAUCUGUAGCUGGUCUGAGAGGACGACCAGCCACACUGGAACUGAGACACGGUCCAGA
rnacentral:rRNA from 1 species